rnacentral:lncRNA from 1 species
AAUUUGAUAAUAUUAAUUAUCACUACUAUCUCAUAACAUUGAAUAUAUUAUUAUUGCUGUACUUUGUAAUCAAUUGAUGUUUUGCAUUCAGAAAGAUCCAAAUGAAGUAAGCAAUUAUUUUCUAGUACACAGCUCCUAUUAAAGAAGUACGGGACAUAUAAAAUUUAUUGUCAGUACAAGUUCUCGAUCGUCAAAUGCCAACAUCGUCACGAAUGAUCGGAUUGGAUAUAUUGGAGGGCACACAUGAUCUCUGAACCUGUAAUAGGAUGCGUUAGUGUUGUUUGUGAGUUUAACCAGAAGAAUAAAAAGCUGUUGAGGGGCUUCUCAAGAGAUCGCGGGAACGAUCUGAACGGUAACAAUGAGCCGUUACUCUUCUCUUAAGCGAAAACAUUCAGAUGCAAUAGAUCAGUGUCUUGAACGUGCACCUUUUCAUCAGGGUUGGAAAGGAGUUAAACAACCACGUUUAUUUCAUACGGCUGUUCGUUAGCGGAUAAUGGAAAUGACGUUGAGUCACCUUCG